UCUGUUCUGAGUUUUGCUUAGGAUUUUGGAUCUGAUUACUUCUUUAUUUUGAUUGUAUGUUCUGUUUUGAGUUUUGCUUAGGAUUCUGGAUCUGAUUACUUUGGUUGUGAUUACUGAUCAUCUGUUAUUUUGGUUUUUUAUUAUUUGUUCUUGGUUUGGGUUCUGCUCUGGUAUUUGAUUUUAGGGUAUGGAUAGAAAUUAGAUCGGGAUAUUUUUUUGAAUUAUUUGAAAAACCGAAACACCGAACCGAACCAAACCGAUUUCGAUUGGUUUGGUUUGGUUGGUGUUGAUAAAAAAACCGAACCAAACCGAACCGAAAAUAAAUAUAAAAUUGGAUCGGAUGACUUUUCCUCCUCGUCGACCUCGCCUUCUCUGUGUUAACCGGUAAGCACUGAUUAGCCAUAUUCUCGGCGUCUGCUUGCUGGUUUAGUGUUUAGGCCUUUAAUACUUGAUUUUGAUAAUACAUGUUAUUUGUUAAUAAUUGAUUUGCUGAUUAACUGGAUUUUCUGAGGUUAUUGUUUGCUGGUUUAGGAAUUGUUUGCUGGGGUUAUUGAUUUAUCAUUUAUUUGUUAUUUCUGAUUUUCUGUUCAUGAUUUACUGCAUAACAUUAGUUUGAAAGUGAUAACGUAUGAACUUAAAAUGCUGAAACCUAUAACUUUAACAUGUUAUUAGUUUGUGCCGAGUUCAAUUUUGUUUCUGGUAUUAUGGCUGGUGCUUAAUUUUUUCUGUUCACACAAGAAAACUGUGCAGCCUUUGAUUUAAUUGAGAAUUCUCUAGUUAUCGGCUGAAUGUUUUAACUUAAAAAAGAAUACUCUAAUGCUAUUUGAUUAUAGCGGCUACUGUAUUAUUCUAAGUGAAGAAAGGUGAAUAAAGAUUAUGGAGUUCUUAGAUUUAAGGUGAGGCUCCAUUUUGUAUUGACCGUCACCAAAAUCUACUGACAGGACAGAAGCUUGUAUGCAAUUAACAUUGACAAGUUUUCUUGUUUUCUUCUUGUAGUUGUACAUUUUUAUCCCAACAUAACCAAUUAAAUAAUGCAAUAGGCUAGUGAUUGUUUGCUGCUUUAGUAAUUGUUUGCUGAGGUUAUUGAUUUUUGCUGGUUUAGUAAUUGUUCAUGAUCAUAUAUUUUUUUUUGUUGUAUUUUACAGAUGGAACAAUCACAAAGUAAUCCACAAGCACAAGACAUUGUUGUUCAAGAAUCCCAAACUGGGACUUCUAGAGAGAAGAACAAGAACAAAGACAAAGAGGAAACGGUGAUAUUUUACCACUGGAUUUGUGGUGAUGAAUUUUGUCUUGUCACUCCAGAAGAACUACCAAUUUGUUUAAGAACUUAUGAAGUUCUUUUUGUCAGAUGGUGGUUUGGUUUCUUGGGAGGUCACUCUUUGCUCCGAAGAACAUGCUGACGUGUAAGAAACCAUCUAUUAAGAACAUCACCAAAGAGGGUUCAAGUUUUUUUAUGUUCCAAUCUAUAUAGUUGGAGACCAGAACUUGUCUUGUAUUCAGAAUUUUAACUUUGACAUUGGGAAUGUAGGAGGAGUGGUUCCAAGUUGUCUACGUCAUUAAAUAGUCAAGUAGUUCAGUCUGGUCCUGUCAGCCAUAUUGAUUAAAACACCUUUGAAGUAUUAAUGUUUGUUCCUUGGCCCAAUCUUCUUUAGAUAAUUCAAAUUCAAAUUCUACGGCUUUCUUUAAUAUGUAGAUGAUAUUAGCCAUCGUGGACACUCCCUGUAGCUCAUAAACAUACGCUUUUUUGAAGCUGGAUUCCAAAGAGGCUUCAAGUUUUUUGAUGUUCCAAUCUAUAUAGUUGGAAACCAGUCUUGUAUUCAGAAUUUCAACUUCGCCAUUGGGGUAUGCUCGGAGGAGUGGUUCCAAGUUGCCUACAUCAUUAAAGUAGUAUGGAAGCGAUUCAUUGCUCGAACAAUGAUUGAAUGAACCUCACAUGAAUAAGAGAUUCCGAUUUCGAAAGGCACCUCGUCUUCCUUAAACUAAUAAUUCUUAAUUGCCCCUCCUAAUUUUUUUUCCAGCUCCACCAUGUCGGUCUUCAUGGAGACAUCAUCCGGAAACGGUGACUGCCACAUAAAAGAAUUCAUGUAUUGUUUAAAAAAUUAAAAAAUCUCAGAGAAAUUCAUCAAUGCAGAUAUAUCAUCUUGAACAGUACAUACCACUUUUUUGACAGCUGUAGAAUUCCAUAAAACAAUAAAACAAUGCCUGACGAAAGGAGAGGUACCGAAGAUUCCAUGAUAGAAUACCCGCUCAUUGGAAAUGAGUAUGUUGAAUAUGAUGCUAAAGUUUUUAAUACACUUCUCUAUGGUAGUCAUCGGGUAGCAGAUCUGUCGAUCUUAACUCCGAUUUGUACAACUUCAAGAACUCUCUCCGAUUUCUUGCUUACACCUCAAUCUGGCUUAUGGAUAUUAUGCUAACGACGGAAAGUCAAAUCCUCGCUUUUGAGAAUUUCCUACUUUACCAAAAGAUGGCAUGACAUCCAUAAGCCAGAUUGAAAUGUACGCAAGAAAUCGGAGAGAGUUUUUGAAGUUUUGCAAAUCGGAGUUAAGACCCGACAAAUCUGCUACUAUAAUGAGUACGAUCGAGAAGUGUAUUAAACACUUCAGAAUCGUAUUCAACAUACUCAUUCCCAAUGAAUAGGUGUUUUAUCAUAGAAUUUUUGGCACCUUUCUUUUUGUCUCGUCAGUGUUUUAUGGAAUUAUGCUCGGCUACCAAGAAAGAAUUGGUAUGUAUUGUUCAAGAUGAGAUGUUGCAUUGAUGAAUUUUUCUGAGGUGUUUUAAUUUUUAAAACAAUACAAGAAUUUCUUGUUAUGUGUGGUCACUGUUUCCAGAUGAUGUCUCUAUGAAGGCCGACAUGGUGGCGCUGGAAAGAAAAUUAGGAGGGACAACCAGGAAUUAUUAUUUUAGGGAGGACGAGGUGCCUUUCGAAAUCGGAAUCUCUUAUUCAUGUGAGGUUCAUUCAAUCAUUGUUCGAGCAAUGGAUCGCUUCCAUACUACUUUAAUGAUGUAAGCAACUUGGAACCACUCCUCCGAGCAUACCCCAAUGGCGAAGUUGAAAUUCUGAAUACAAGACUGAUUUCCAACUAUAUAGAUUGGAAUAUCAAAAAACUUGAAGCCUUUUUGGAAUCCAGCUUCAAAAAGGCGUAUGUUUAUGAGCUCUAGGGAGUGUUCACGAUGGCCAAUAUCAUCUACAUAUUAAAGAAAGCCGUAGAAUUUGGAUCUGAAUUAUCUAAAGAAGAUUGGGCCAAGGAACAAACAUUGAUACUUUAAAGGUAUUUUAAUCAAUAUGGCUGGCAGGACCAGACCUAGCUGCUUGACUAUUUCCGGCAACAUAAUGCGGAGGCCACGGGAUCUUCAAUGUUGAGCAUGUUAGAUUGUCUCAGUUUUGACACUUCUCGUGUUCCAGUAGAGUUUUUGGUGAAAACAUUGAUCCCAAAUUGUGAAGAAUUCAUCAAGAGUUUUGAGCUUUGCUAGAUGGCAAUAAAGGUCCUGAGCAUCCCACCCCUUGAGGCACGCAAGAUUAUUGGAGAGGAGGGUUGGUCUAAAAUACAAGGAUUGAAUACCUAAAUACAGUCUUCUUUUAGUUUAAAAACCUGAUGUACUGAGACACUCCAAAUGUCAUUGUGUUAAGCUUUUGAACUCUCAAACUUUGUGUCUAUUAUACUUUGAUUUUAUAGUCAAAUUAUGCUGUGGUUUAUGAUAGAUUUUAGAUUUGAUGUGCUUAGCUUAUUCACAGAGAGAUAUAUCCUGUGAUGCCAAUACUUCCAUGUUCAAUUAUAAUUUGUUUCUGUUUUUUAUUUUA